AUCUAUGUUAAAUGAAUUGUAUCCUAAAAUAACUCCUGUAUUUAUGACUCCUAAUUAAUCUUUGAUUUUGUACCAAAUAAAUGCUAAAUCGGUUAAGGUAAAAUCUUAACAAACUAAUAAAGAAUGGAUCCAAGAAUUUUAACAUUCUGUAUCAUUGAAACCAAGGGCUAUCAUUCGUUAUUUUCUUGCCACAUACCCUCUCCAAACUUUGUUUUCCAUUUAGAAGCCAACUUGGAUAAAUUAGGGUUCUUCUCCAAAUUGGAGAAAUUAAGUUGCUCCGAAUAUUUAGUGAGAGCUUCCUGGUAUGAUAUCUUCUGUUAUUUUCAUAAUUCUUUCUUAUAGUUUCCUUUCU
rnacentral:lncRNA from 1 species